AAGGGGAUUGAGGGGUUAGAA
rnacentral:miRNA from 1 species